UACGGAGGGUGCAAGCGUUAUCCGGAUUCACUGGGUUUAAAGGGUGCGUAGGUGGGCAGGUAAGUCCGUGGUGAAAUCUCCAAGCUUAACUUGGAAACUGCCGUGGAUACUAUCUGAUCUUGAAUACCGUGGAGGUGAGCGGAAUAUGUCAUGUAGCGGUGAAAUGCUUAGAUAUGACAUAGAACACCAAUUGCGAAGGCAGCUCACUACACGCUUAUUGACACUGAGGCACGAAAGCGUGGGGAUCAAACAGG
rnacentral:rRNA from 1 species